rnacentral:lncRNA from 1 species
CAAAGACCUUCCUGUGCAUUUGUAAACAGCUGUUCCAUUGUGGCUGUAAACAGCUAGCUAGCUAAGCUAACUUAGUGUAGUUGUUUUUUUUACCAUUGUAUUCGUCGGUGGGAUGGUCCUUACUUCUGGGGGAAAUAAAAGUUUAUAGCUAGAUUUCCCAAAGAAUCAUUGCAGCGGGCUACAUUGCCUGCAUGGAUAGUAACGUUAGCAGCAGCAGGAGGUGGCGGCACCAGGAUGAUGUGUAGCACACGGACCCUGAAAAGAAAAGGAGAAAGAGAGAGAGAAAAGAAGGAGUCGGGGGUGCAGCCCUGGG